GAUGAACGCUGGCGGCGUGCCUAAUACAUGCAAGUCGAGCGAACGGACGAGAAGCUUGCUUCUCUGAUGUUAGCGGCGGACGGGUGAGUAACACGUGGAUAACCUACCUAUAAGACUGGGAUAACUUCGGGAAACCGGAGCUAAUACCGGAUAAUAUUUUGAACCGCAUGGUUCAAAAGUAAAAGACGGUCUUGCUGUCACUUAUAGAUGGAUCCGCGCUGCAUUAGCUAGUUGGUAAGGUAACGGCUUACCAAGGCAACGAUGCAUAGCCGACCUGAGAGGGUGAUCGGCCACACUGGAACUGAGACACGGUCCAGACUCCUACGGGAGGCAGCAGUAGGGAAUCUUCCGCAAUGGGCGAAAGCCUGACGGAGCAACGCCGCGUGAGUGAUGAAGGUCUUCGGAUCGUAAAACUCUGUUAUUAGGGAAGAACAUAUGUGUAAGUAACUGUGCACAUCUUGACGGUACCUAAUCAGAAAGCCACGGCUAACUACGUGCCAGCAGCCGCGGUACUACGUAGGUGGCAAGCGUUAUCCGGAAUUAUUGGGCGUAAAGCGCGCGUAGGCGGUUUUUUAAGUCUGAUGUGAAAGCCCACGGCUCAACCGUGGAGGGUCAUUGGAAACUGGAAAACUUGAGUGCAGAAGAGGAAAGUGGAAUUCCAUGUGUAGCGGUGAAAUGCGCAGAGAUAUGGAGGAACACCAGUGGCGAAGGCGACUUUCUGGUCUGUAACUGACGCUGAUGUGCGAAAGCGUGGGGAUCAAACAGGAUUAGAUACCCUGGUAGUCCACGCCGUAAACGAUGAGUGCUAAGUGUUAGGGGGUUUCCGCCCCUUAGUGCUGCAGCUAACGCAUUAAGCACUCCGCCUGGGGAGUACGACCGCAAGGUUGAAACUCAAAGGAAUUGACGGGGACCCGCACAAGCGGUGGAGCAUGUGGUUUAAUUCGAAGCAACGCGAAGAACCUUACCAAAUCUUGACAUCCUUUGACAACUCUAGAGAUAGAGCCUUCCCCUUCGGGGGACAAAGUGACAGGUGGUGCAUGGUUGUCGUCAGCUCGUGUCGUGAGAUGUUGGGUUAAGUCCCGCAACGAGCGCAACCCUUAAGCUUAGUUGCCAUCAUUAAGUUGGGCACUCUAAGUUGACUGCCGGUGACAAACCGGAGGAAGGUGGGGAUGACGUCAAAUCAUCAUGCCCCUUAUGAUUUGGGCUACACACGUGCUACAAUGGACAAUACAAAGGGCAGCGAAACCGCGAGGUCAAGCAAAUCCCAUAAAGUUGUUCUCAGUUCGGAUUGUAGUCUGCAACUCGACUACAUGAAGCUGGAAUCGCUAGUAAUCGUAGAUCAGCAUGCUACGGUGAAUACGUUCCCGGGUCU
rnacentral:rRNA from 1 species